rnacentral:rRNA from 1 species
CCCCUAGAUGUUCUGGGCCGCACGCGCGCUACACUGAACAGUUCAACAAGUCUUAACCUUGGCCGAUAGGUCUGGGUAAUCUUUGAGCGCUGUUCGUGAUUGGGAUAGACCUUUGCAAUUAUGGGUCUUCAACGAGGAAUUCCUAGUAAACGCAAGUCAUCAGCUUGCAUUGAUUACGUCCCUGCCCUUUGUACACACCGCCCGUCGCACCUACCGAUUGAAUGGUCCGGUGAAAUCUCGGGACGGCGGCUUGGUCGCUUGCGUCCGACUGCUGAAACUUGAUUAAACCAUAUCAUUUAGAGGAAGGUGAANUCGUAACA